GAUGAACGCUAGCGACAGGCCUAACACAUGCAAGUCGAGGGGCAGCACAAGGAGCAAUCUGAGGUGGCGACCGGCGCACGGGUGAAGUAACACGUAUGCAACCUACCUGUAAGAGGGGAAUAACCCGUUGAAAAACGGACUAAUACCGCAUAACACUGUAGAACCGCAUGGUUUGACAGUUAAACAUUUAUGGCUUACAGAUGGGCAUGCGCAUGAUUAGCUAGUUGGUGAGGUAACGGCUCACCAAGGCAACGAUCAUUAGGGGUUCUGAGAGGAAGGUCCCCCACACUGGUACUGAGACACGGACCAGACUCCUACGGGAGGCAGCAGUGAGGAAUAUUGGUCAAUGGGCGAGAGCCUGAACCAGCCAAGUCGCGUGAAGGAUGAAGGUUUUAUGAAUUGUAAACUUCUUUUGCAGGGGAAUAAAGUGUCCGACGUGUCGGAUUUUGUAUGUACUCUGCGAAUAAGGAUCGGCUAACUCCGUG
rnacentral:rRNA from 1 species